GACGAACGCUGGCGACGUGCUUAACACAUGCAAGUCGAACGAAGUGGCGCACGGGUGAGUAACGCGUAAUCAACCUGCCCUUCAGAGGGGGACAACAGUUGGAAACGACUGCUAAUCCCGCAUACUGAAGGAGGGGAUGGCGUCUGAUUAGCUAGUUGGAGGGGUAACGGCCCACCAAGGCGAUGAUCAGUAGGCGGUCUGAGGGGAGGGACGGCCCAAAUGGGAAUGAGAAACGGCCCAGACUUCUACGGGAGGCAGCAGUGGGGAAUCUUCCGCAAUUGACGAAAGUCUGACUGAGCAACGCCGCGGGAGUGAUGACGGCCUUCGGGUUGUAAAGCUCUGUUAAUCGGGACGCGGUACCGGAAUAGAAAGCCACGGCUAACUACGUGCCAGCAGCCGCGGUAAUAC
rnacentral:rRNA from 1 species